CAGGCUUAACACAUGCAAGUCGAGGGGCAGCAUGGUCUUAGCUUGCUAAGGCCGAUGGCGACCGGCGCACGGGUGAGUAACACGUAUCCAACCUGCCGUCUACUCUUGGACAGCCUUCUGAAAGGAAGAUUAAUACAAGAUGGCAUCAUGAGUCCGCAUGUUCACAUGAUUAAAGGUAUUCCGGUAGACGAUGGGGAUGCGUUCCAUUAGAUAGUAGGCGGGGUAACGGCCCACCUAGUCUUCGAUGGAUAGGGGUUCUGAGAGGAAGGUCCCCCACAUUGGAACUGAGACACGGUCCAAACUCCUACGGGAGGCAGCAGUGAGGAAUAUUGGUCAAUGGGCGAGAGCCUGAACCAGCCAAGUAGCGUGAAGGAUGACUGCCCUAUGGGUUGUAAACUUCUUUUAUAAAGGAAUAAAGUCGGGUAUGGAUACCCGUUUGCAUGUACUUUAUGAAUAAGGAUCGGCUAACUCCGUGCCAGCAGCCGCGGUAAUACGGAGGAUCCGAGCGUUAUCCGGAUUUAUUGGGUUUAAAGGGAGCGUAGAUGGAUGUUUAAGUCAGUUGUGAAAGUUUGCGGCUCAACCGUAAAAUUGCAGUUGAUACUGGAUAUCUUGAGUGCAGUUGAGGCAGGCGGAAUUCGUGGUGUAGCGGUGAAAUGCUUAGAUAUCACGAAGAACUCCGAUUGCGAAGGCAGCCUGCUAAGCUGCAACUGACAUUGAGGCUCGAAAGUGUGGGUAUCAAACAGGAUUAGAUACCCUGGUAGUCCACACGGUAAACGAUGAAUACUCGCUGUUUGCGAUAUACUGCAAGCGGCCAAGCGAAAGCGUUAAGUAUUCCACCUGGGGAGUACGCCGGCAACGGUGAAACUCAAAGGAAUUGACGGGGGCCCGCACAAGCGGAGGAACAUGUGGUUUAAUUCGAUGAUACGAGAGGAACCUUACCCGGGCUUAAAUUGCAGAUGAAUUACGGUGAAAGCCGUAAGCCGCAAGGCAUCUGUGAAGGUGCUGCAUGGUUGUCGUCAGCUCGUGCCGUGAGGUGUCGGCUUAAGUGCCAUAACGAGCGCAACCCUUGUUGUCAGUUACUAACAGGUUCCGCUGAGGACUCUGACAAGACUGCCAUCGUAAGAUGUGAGGAAGGUGGGGAUGACGUCAAAUCAGCACGGCCCUUACGUCCGGGGCUACACACGUGUUACAAUGGGGGGUACAGAGGGCCGCUACCACGCGAGUGGAUGCCAAUCCCCAAAACCUCUCUCAGUUCGGACUGGAGUCUGCAACCCGACUCCACGAAGCUGGAUUCGCUAGUAAUCGCGCAUCAGCCACGGCGCGGUGAAUACGUUCCCGGGCCUUGUACACACCGCCCGUCAAGCCAUGGGAGCCGGGGGUACCUGAAGUGCGUAACCGCGAGGAGCGCCCUAGGGUAAAACUGGUGACUG
rnacentral:rRNA from 1 species